rnacentral:rRNA from 1 species
AGAGUUUGAUCMUGGCUCAGGAUGAACGCUAGCGGGAGGCUUAACACAUGCAAGUCGAGGGGCAGCAYGAGGUAGCAAUACUUUGRUGGCGACCGGCGCACGGGUGAGUAACGCGUAUGUAACCUACCCUGUACAGGGGGAUAGCCCGGAGAAAUUCGGAUUAAUACCCCAUAAUGAUAUCUGGAGGCAUCUUUDGAUAUUUAAAGCUUCGGCGGUACGGGAUGGGCAUGCGUGACAUUAGCUAGUUGGUAAGGUAACGGCUUACCAAGGCUGCGAUGUCUAGGGGUCCUGAGAGGGUGAUCCCCCACACUGGUACUGAGACACGGACCAGACUCCUACGGGAGGCAGCAGUGAGGAAUAUUGGUCAAUGGGCGUAAGCCUGAACCAGCCAUCCCGCGUGAAGGAAGAAGGCGCUAUGCGUCGUAAACUUCUUUUCCAGAGGAAUAAAAUUUYGUACGWGUACGGAACUGAAGGUACUUUGGGAAUAAGCAUCGGCUAACUCCGUGCCAGCAGCCGCGGUAAUACGGAGGAUGCGAGCGUUAUCCGGAUUUAUUGGGUUUAAAGGGUGCGUAGGCGGAUUAAUAAGUCAGUGGUGAAAACCUUCAGCUUAACUGGAGAACUGCCAUUGAUACUGUUAGUCUUGAGUACGGUCAAGGUAGGCGGAAUGUGUAAUGUAGCGGUGAAAUGCUUAGAUAUUACACAGAACACCGAUUGCGAAGGCAGCUUACUGGGCCAUUACUGACGCUGAUGCACGAAAGCGUGGGGAGCGAACAGGAUUAGAUACCCUGGUAGUCC